rnacentral:rRNA from 1 species
AUGAACGCUGGCGGCGUGCCUAAUACAUGCAAGUCGAGCGAACAGACGAGGAGCUUGCUCCUCUGACGUUAGCGGCGGACGGGUGAGUAACACGUGGAUAACCUACCUAUAAGACUGGGAUAACUUCGGGAAACCGGAGCUAAUACCGGAUAAUAUAUUGAACCGCAUGGUUCAAUAGUGAAAGACGGUUUUGCUGUCACUUAUAGAUGGAUCCGCGCCGCAUUAGCUAGUUGGUAAGGUAACGGCUUAUCAAGGCAACGAUGCGUAGCCGACCUGAGAGGGUGAUCGGCCACACUGGAACUGAGACACGGUCCAGACUCCUACGGGAGGCAGCAGUAGGGAAUCUUCCGCAAUGGGCGAAAGCCUGACGGAGCAACGCCGCGUGAGUGAUGAAGGUCUUCGGAUCGUAAAACUCUGUUAUUAGGGAAGAACAAAUGUGUAAGUAACUAUGCACGUCUUGACGGUACCUAAUCAGAAAGCCACGGCUAACUACGUG